rnacentral:rRNA from 1 species
GACGAACGCUGGCGGCGUGCCUAAUACAUGCAAGUCGAACGAGAGCGACCGGUGCUUGCCCUGGUCAAUCUAGUGGCGAACGGGUGAGUAACACGUGGGUAACCUGCCCAUCAGAGGGGGAUAACAUCCGGAAACGGAUGCUAAAACCGCAUAGGUCUUCGAGCCGCAUGGCUUGAAGAGGAAAAGAGGCGCAAGCUUCUGCUGAUGGAUGGACCCGCGGUGCAUUAGCUAGUUGGUGAGGUAACGGCUCACCAAGGACGUGAUGCAUAGCCGACCUGAGAGGGUGAUCGGCCACAUUGGGACUGAGACACGGCCCAAACUCCUACGGGAGGCAGCAGUAGGGAAUCUUCCGCAAUGGACGCAAGUCUGACGGAGCAACGCCGCGUGAGUGAAGAAGGUUUUCGGAUCGUAAAACUCUGUUGUUAGAGAAGAACAAGUGCUAGAGUAACUGUUAGCGCCUUGACGGUAUCUAACCAGAAAGCCACGGCUAACUACGUG